rnacentral:rRNA from 1 species
GAUGAACGCUGGCGGCGUGCCUAAUACAUGCAAGUCGAGCGAACGGACGAGAAGCUUGCUUCUCUGAUGUUAGCGGCGGACGGGUGAGUAACACGUGGAUAACCUACCUAUAAGACUGGGAUAACUUCGGGAAACCGGAGCUAAUACCGGAUGAUAUUUUGAACCGCAUGGUUCAAAAGUGAAAGACGGUCUUGCUGUCACUUAUAGAUGGAUCCGCGCUGCAUUAGCUAGUUGGUAAGGUAACGGCUUACCAAGGCAACGAUGCAUAGCCGACCUGAGAGGGUGAUCAGCCACACUGGAACUGAGACACGGUCCAGACUCCUACGGGAGGCAGCAGUAGGGAAUCUUCCGCAAUGGGCGAAAGCCUGACGGAGCAACGCCGCGUGAGUGAUGAAGGUCUUCGGAUCGUAAAACUCUGUUAUUAGGGAAGAACAUAUGUGUAAGUAACUGUGCACAUCUUGACGGUACCUAAUCAGAAAGCCCCGGCUAACUACGUG